CCCCCGCGGGCCGGGGAACAUGCCGGGGCGAGCGCAGCGCAGCGCAGCCAGGAGGCGGCCAGCUGGCAGGGUUGGCCAAACAGUGCCAGCAACGUUACUCCGGCUGCUGCCGAAUCAGCUGGGCCAGCCCGGUGGAGCCAGAUCAAUGUGAGUUGGGAUGGACAGCAGUGUGAACCAGAGAGAGAGAGAGAGAAGUUUGCCCUCUAGUGGUUUGGCUCAUAGGAUAAGAGACCUACUACUGCUAUCGGGUGCAGAGAGAGACAGCCUGAACCUUAUAAAAGCAUCAUGUCAUACCCCUGCGAUCCCCCUCCCUACAGUGAUAAGAACCCCCUCAUCCCGCUGCAGCCUGAGGACUACUCACAGCUGGGACCCUCUGCUGUGGAGUACCUGCAGCCUCCGGGGUACCCGCAGCCGGGAGGCAAUCCUGGGGCCUCCGUGCAACCUGCAGCCUGUGCUGGGGGCUACCUGGUGCCCGGAGGAUAUGCACCCUCGGCAGGCUAUCCACAGCCAAAGGGCCCAGAGGCCCCCCGGCCAGUGCUUCCCAUGCACUUAGGGGACACCAGUCUCCCCACAGGGAACAGCUACAUUGUCACCAGCUUGAGGGAUGACGUCGUCAGGACUGUUGACUGGGACGACAAGAGAGUGCGACACACCU